AUUGAACGCUGGCGGCAGGCCUAACACAUGCAAGUCGAGCGGUAGCACAAGAAAGCUUGCCCUCUGGGUGUCGCGCGGGGCGGGGGUGUGAAAUGUCUAGGAAACUGCCUUAUGGCGGGGGUUACCUAGUGGAAACGGUAGCUAUAACCGCAUAUCGUCUCAACCGCAAAGAGCAGGAGCUUCGGGCCGCUUGCCAGCAGAUGUGAGCAGAUGGGAUUAGCUAGUAGGUGGGGUAAUGGCUCACCAAGGCGACGAUCCGUAGCUGGUCUGAGAGGAUGAGCAGCCACACUGGAACUGAGACACGGUCCAGACUCCUACGGGAGGCAGCAGUGGGGAAUAUUGCACAAUGGGCGCAAGCCUGAUGCAGCCAUGCCGCGUGUGUGAAGAAGGCCUUCGGGUUGUAAAGCACUUUUAGCGGGGAAGAAGAUGGUGAACUUAAUACGUUCAUCUCUUGACGGUACCCACAGAAGAAGCACCGGCUAACUCCGUG
rnacentral:rRNA from 1 species